AUGAGCUCUCUCCACCCAGGACAGCACAGUAACCAGGAGUAAAUGUGUUGACUAGUACUCCGGGCACAUUUCAAAGGAAGACCCCAUUUCUUGAAGAAAAUGAAUGCCCAGAUUCCAUACCUGCAGAGAAACGAAGAAAAGUGUGUGUGAAAGGGUCUGAAGCUGAAAUUCUGCAGCAGACUGGUGAUAGCAACUUUCAUGGAGAGGAGAGCAAAUCUCAUUCCAAUGCAGUUCCUGGGUCCAGCUCCAAAGGGC